rnacentral:tRNA from 1 species
GGGGGUAUGGCUUAGUGGUAGAGCGCAUGCUUAGCAUGCAUGAGGUCCUGGGUUCAAUUCCCAGUACCUCCA